AGUGAACGCUGGCGGUAGGCCUAACACAUGCAAGUCGAACGGCAGCACAGUAAGAGCUUGCUCUUCCGGGGGGCGGGGGGCGGACGGGGGGGGAAAACACCGGAACCUACUUUUUGGGGGGGGUUAAGGAAGGAAAACUUACGCUAUUACCCAAUACGCCUUACGGUUGAAAGCAGGGGACCUUCGAACUUGCCGCGAUUGAUUGAGCGGAUGUCGGAUUAGCUAGUUGGCGGGGUAAAGGCCCACCAAGGCGACGAUCCGUAGCUGGUCUGAGAGGAUGAUCAGCCACACUGGAACUGAGACACGGUCCAGACUCCUACGGGAGGCAGCAGUGGGGAAUAUUGGACAAUGGGCGCAAGCCUGAUCCAGCCAUACCGCGUGGGUGAAGAAGGCCUUCGGGUUGUAAAGCCCUUUUGUUGGGAAAGAAAAGCAGCAGGUUAAUACCCCGCUGUUCUGACGGUACCCAAAGAAUAAGCACCGGCUAACUUCGUG
rnacentral:rRNA from 1 species